UACGGAGGGUGCGAGCGUUGUCCGGAAUCACUGGGCGUAAAGGGCGCGUAGGCGGCUUGACAAGCGUGCGGUGAAAGCUCGGGGCUCAACCCCGAGUCGGCCGUGCGAACUGUCAGGCUUGAGCACAGUAGAGGCAGAUGGAAUUCCUGGUGUAGCGGUGAAAUGCGCAGAUAUCAGGAGGAACACCGGUGGCGAAGGCGGGUCUCUGGGCCGAUACUGACGCUGAGGCACGAAGGCCAGGGGAGCAAACGGG
rnacentral:rRNA from 1 species